GGAAAGAUGGCAGAGUGGUCGAUUGCGGCGGUCUUGAAAACCGUUGAACCGAGAGGUUCCCGGGGUUCGAAUCCCUGUCUCUCCGC
rnacentral:tRNA from 1 species